rnacentral:lncRNA from 1 species
CUGACAUGUACUUUCUGCAAGAAAAACUCAUUCCUCUUCCACAAAGAACAGGCAACAACAUUCUAUAAAAAUGUGUACACAAUUUUGAGACAUGAUCAAAGCAAAUCGUCCAAGAGCCUGAAACCUUCCAAGAAGGUUCAAUCCUUGGUUGCUUCAGCCAACCCUCAGUGGGGGAGCUACAAGCACAACGCCGUCACCUCUGACAAAGAGCAUCGGAAUAUUCCUUUUGGUAGAUUUAUAAAUCUCUUCAUAUGUUUCUUCAUCAAUCUCUAUUGUUGUUACAGUUUCUUCCACAUCACCCAGAAUCAUAUUUAAAUGCUGAUCAUAUGCGUGCAGCCUGCCUCUGAGCUCUCUAUCAUUCCUCAUCUUCACGUAGAUCCGCUCAUCCAGACUGAGCCUGAUGAGAUCGAGGGGCUCCUCGACGGUAUUUGUCGUUUGUUGCUGGUCCACCUCGUCCGCCAUCUUUCAAACCGCCUC